rnacentral:lncRNA from 1 species
UUCAGCUUUAAAUUGGGAAAAGUGGGAAUGUUUAAUACAGAAAGCACUUAAAGCCAUAAACUCCUAAGGCCACAUUCCAUGUUAGAAUUUUCAGAAGUGAUAAAAUUCCACAUGAUGAAGUUAUCCCUAAUGAUAUAAUACUUAAAUUUACAAUUAUGAAUACCUUCUAUUAUUCUUAUAAUAAUUCUAAGGAAUGUUCCUUUUAAGGGUAAAAAGAAAAACAGGGUAGAGGAACACCAUUUGUGAACGAUAAACUUCAGCUCCUGAACUUCUCAGAUGAUGACUGUUAGGUUUCUCCUUUUCAUCUCCGGGCAGGAAUAAAACGUGUGUAUUGAGAAACAAAAUCAGGCUAAGCUCAAGUGAGCAUUCCCUAAUACCCAAAGUUUACUUCCAAUGUUCACUCUACUUCAAAGCAGAAUCUGCCUGUUUAAGGUAUGAGAGUAAUUUCAAGUUUUCAGGCGAGGACUAACAUUAGGAAGUAAAACUUCAAAAACAAGAACAAGUGUUUCUAAGAUACGAGAGGCACGGCCAACUUACACCCACUACUCCAGGCCCAGCCCGGAAUGGGAUCCCAGUCCCUCUCAUUUCCAGGACGCCCGGCCUGGCUGGGAGUGCACACAAUCGAAAACUUGCAGUCAAGACUUGAGAAUCGAGGAUGGCCAGAGAGAUGCCACAAGUGGCUUGGACGGAGCUGCUACGUGAAUUUCUGCACUGAAAGGCCAUGCUUCGAACUCCAGAUAGAACCUUGCUGGGAACAGCAGGAUUGGAGCGUCCUGGAAAGGAACAUUAAGUGUGCCCAGCGCUCAGAAUAGGAAGAAGCCUCCCAGCCCCCAGACUCUUCUCAUAUACCACCGUCCCCCAUUCGUAUUCUUCUUUUAGAACAUUAUCACACCUGGAAGACAGGCCCCGAGCCUAGCCAUUGGUAUGAAUUCACAUAAUCCUGCCUGCUAAUGCGUAAUGACUUCCCACCUCCUGCAGGACUCUGCGCUGGGCCAAGGCUUUCUAAGGAUCUGGAGAAACUUGUCCUUCUCCGCCUGGGUUCAUAGACCUUUGAGGGCACGAACUGCCUCUGGGCGGUAGAACCUGCCCCGGGGGUAGGGGUGGGGACAGUCCCCAGACCGUGGUCAGGGCAUUUGUGGUCAGUCUCAGUCUCGAGGGCUGAUGCUGAACGAUAAGGAUAGAGGUGGCUCAGGCAAGGAACAAGCUUCACCGAGAGGUCUGGACUCUCCUCGGGCAACUGUCUUAGUAUAAGGAAAGGAUUUCGUAUUUGCACCUGAAGCAGUCUAGAUUGAAGCAGAAACUUUAAACCACCAGAAACUUUGGAGAGCUUGGAGCUCAUGAGAAGGAGCAACAGAAUAAGCAGGAGGUAGGGAAGAGAGAUGCCCAGGGCGAAAUCGCUCACUUCGGCUAUCUUUCUAGGUCUUCCUCAAUUCCACCUCGGCCUGCAGAAGCUAAGCUUUGCGCAUAGUAAAGUCUUCAACCCCUAACCUGUUUUCUGCCCCGCACCAUUAAUCUGGAGAUGAUCUUGCAAGGUCCUAGUCCAAAGGGGAAAGAGCCAGCUGGGUAGGCUUACAGUUGAACUUUUGAAUGCUGUGAAGAAGACGGGCCUGUUUACAAUUAAUCUCACUCACACUACUGAGUGGCUGUACUUUGUUUUGGACUGCCCUAAAUUGGUCCACUUGCAAGGCCCAAAUUUGCAGUGUGGUGUACUAAUAACAUCAAUCAGACCAAACCAUUCUUACUUAAACAGUGCUUCCUGGCUUUUCUUUCUUCCCUCAAACAAUUUUAAAACGUUUAUUAUGCUAAACUGUCAACAUCCUACUAUUAAAAAACAACAAAGUGACAUUUUCCCUUGUCAUAAUUUAACUUGUUUCACUGAGAUGAACUACUACACAAUAGUACUCAGUAUAAUUUCAAAUUUGGUAAACUUUCAACUAAAUAUUACUAUCAAAACACUAAAAAUGAUAAGGAAUCUAAAAUAAACCAUGACCUUAAAUGCCAUUUAUUGUUCCAUAAAUCUUCAGACUUCAAAAAGAAGUGCUAAACAGACAAACUCCAAAGCAAUGGAGAGCUCAGUUCUCUCCCACUGAUUGGCACAGGAAACAUUUGGUCAUACAAAAGCAGUUAAAACGACAGAAAGAAGAAUGGCUGAUCUACAGCCUUUUUUGUUU